GCCCACUUCAGCAGCACAUAUACUAAAACUGGAACAAAUCCGAGAAGAUUGGCAUGGCCCCUGUACAAGGAUGACAUUCAAAAUUGUCAAGUGUUCCAUAUUUAA